rnacentral:rRNA from 1 species
GACGGGGGGUCCUAGCGUUGUUCGGAAUCAUUGGGCGUAAAGCGUGUGCAGGUGGUUUGUAAAGUUGGAUGUGAAAGCCCCGGGCUUAACCCGGGAAGUGCAUUCAAAACUGCCAAACUUGAGUAGGGAAGAGGGUCGUGGAAUUCCAGGUGUAGUGGUGAAAUACGUAGAUAUCUGGAGGAACACCGGUGGCGAAGGCGGCGACCUGGUCCUAUACUGACACUCAUACACGAAAGCGUGGGGAUCAAACAGG